CUAUCACAGUCAAAGGUACGUAACCACACCAACAAACCAGAGCUAGCUAGUAGUAUAUACUCUGGUUAUAGCUAGCUAGCUGCUUCAAUAGCUUCGCUGAGUAGCACCAGUAUAGUGUUCUCCAUUGCAACACACAGACGACCAGCUACUCGCUCGCUCCGAUCCCAUGGCCAGCUUCGCUGCUCAGCUCAAGGAUAAAUUCCUAGGAGUCAUCUACCGUGUAACCGGCUGGAGCAGCGGUGGCGCCGGCGUUGGCAAGGAUACAAUACUGCCCGAGGAGCCCACCAAAUUUGCUAUCGUGCAGCCCGUUGAGGUCCGAUCCAGAGGUGGCCAGCAGGAACCCGAUGUGGAUAACGGUGAUCUAGGAGGGGCCAAUUGAUACUGGCCUUGCUAGCUUUACUGCUUGCAUGCUUGCUGGUUGUCUCAACUCUCUGACAAAAGAACACAUGUGCAACCAGAAAACGGCCACCAACCCAGAAACGUCGUAGCAACCAUUCUAAUCCCUAUUACAUUGCAGAGUUGACACAGCUCUUGAGACCUCCAAAGGCUAAGCAAUUGAUUGAUCCGAUCCUGAUGAAUCCAGAUUCCACUUGAUCCACGGUGCUAAGCUUGCUUGGUUCUCCACUAGAAGGACCACCCACUCCACUUUUUCCUGAAUUUCUAGUUUGAACAUCGGCAGCCAACUUUUCAGCAUCCUUACCACCAUAGCAAACACCUUUUUCAUUCCACUCCAUGGUACUCCCUAAAAGCAUAAGGAAUUACGUAAUUUCCAGAUCA